rnacentral:rRNA from 1 species
GACGAACGCUGGCGGCGUGCCUAAUACAUGCAAGUUGAGCGCUGAAGGUUGGUACUUGUACCAACUGGAUGAGCAGCGAACGGGUGAGUAACGCGUGGGGAAUCUGCCUUUGAGCGGGGGACAACAUUUGGAAACGAAUGCUAAUACCGCAUAAAAACUUUAAACACAAGUUUUAAGUUUGAAAGAUGCAAUUGCAUCACUCAAAGAUGAUCCCGCGUUGUAUUAGCUAGUUGGUGAGGUAAAGGCUCACCAAGGCGAUGAUACAUAGCCGACCUGAGAGGGUGAUCGGCCCCAUUGGGACUGAGACACGGCCCAAACUCCUACGGGAGGCAGCAGUAGGGAAUCUUCGGCAAUGGACGAAAGUCUGACCGAGCAACGCCGCGUGAGUGAAGAAGGUUUUCGGAUCGUAAAACUCUGUUGGUAGAGAAGAACGUUGGUGAGAGUGGAAAGCUCGUCAAGUGACGGUAACUACCCAGAAAGGGACGGCUAACUACGUG